rnacentral:misc_RNA from 1 species
AACAAGGCGUACCUGCGGACCUGCGGAGGGAUCAUUAACCGUUACAAACAGUGUGUGCUGCGGCCCCCGAGGUGAGGCAACGAGCCUUCGGGAGGUCUGGGGUCCGCCCCUUCACGCGCACGCGUCUGCCAUCCUUACUUUACGAGCACCUUCUGUUCUCCCUCGGCAUGCGUCCUGCGCUGCCGUUGGAAUUACAAAACUCUUUUUUGCAUCUAGCAUUACCUGUUCCGACAAUAACAA